UACGUAGGGACCAAGCGUUGUUCGGAUUUACUGGGCGUAAAGGGCGCGUAGGCGGCAAUUCAAGUCAUCUGUGAAAUCUCCGGGCUUAACUCGGAACGGUCAGAUGAUACUGCUUUGCUAGAGUGCGGAAGGGGCAAUCGGAAUUCUUGGUGUAGCGGUGAAAUGCGUAGAUAUCAAGAGGAACACCUGAGGUGAAGACGGGUUGCUGGGCCGACACUGACGCUGAGUGCGCGAAAGCCAGGGAGCAAACGGG
rnacentral:rRNA from 1 species